CACAAGCCAAGGAGAUGCAAGAAGGCAUCUGCUGGGAUUUCUAGAAAAGAGACGCUUCCUCUUUCUUCUACUUAAGAGUGAGAAGUAAAGAUAUAAUCUCUGUGAUAGAUACGGUCAAAUUGUUACCAGGUCAAGAGACUCUGGAGCUUCUGUGUUCCUUAUAGGAGACACCUUGAAGCUUGCUGGAUGCCUCAGAGGGAAGUGAGAGAGAAACAAGCACCAGAGAAGGCAGAGUGAGGAAACAGAGAAAUUGGGACUUUGGAGACAUUGUUUGAGCUGCUGGACCAAGCCUUGCCUGAAAGCAGCAUAUCUAGACUUCAACAUGUUCCAUGAUGGCCAGAGCCAGCUCUUGGAGUCUCUCCUCUUCUUGCCUUUGUCCCUAGCACUGAGCUCAGUGCCUGGACAUAGUAGCUGCCCAGCAGAUAUAUGAUGGCUAAAUGUAAACUGGAUGUCUCACAGUGUGUUCAGGAUAGAGCCAGGAUAGAACCUGGCUCUUCUGGGAGAGAACACCAGUGCCUGCUUUGGGCUGACAAGUCCUUUAUGUGUGCAUUAAUGCUGUGCGAUUGGAAGGGCUGGAGUUGGAGCCUUCCGUGGUCCUCCCUGAAGCCAUCACCUUUCCUGGACAAGCUCCUAAAUGGGCUCAGGGCUUGUACUCUCCAAGAAGCCUUCAUGGAGGCCCCCGUUCCUCAGUCUCUGGAACGUUCCUCUUGCUCCUUAAUCACUGGUGCCUCACACCCCUGUUAAAGCACGUUUCCUCCUGGCCCACAAGCUCUCGGGGGUCGGGGGCACACGUUUGGUUUGUCUUGUCCCCUUCUCCCCUGCCAGGUGUGCUCCUUCCAUGCCUGGCACCCACAGGCCUCAUGGUGAAUGGCAGAGCAAGAGGAGGCCGGCUGCAGACCCCACUUGGGGCUGUGUCUGGGCCGGGCUGGGGGCGGCUGUGUGAAAGGCCGUCCUGUUUGAGCUGCUGCUGCUGUUCACGCCCGGCCCAUGUGCUCAUGUCCUGUGUGGGGCUUAGGUAAUGGGGCAGCAGGUGGCGGAACAGGGACCCGGGUGAGGCUGGCCCAGCCCUGCUGCAGGAUGAGCCGACUUUUCCAGGCCCCACUGAGUGCCGGUUCCUCCCACCGUCUGGCCCAGGUGCCAACACAAACAUGGGGCUCUUCCCUCCGGGGCUCUGGCUGUGGAGACCAGGGUCAGAAAACGGCACACAGGGCUCCCUUCACCUUGCCCAUGGGGAUUAACCCUUUGUACCCUGCUCUGACCUUAGGCCUGGGACACUGCAGAAGGGCAGUUGAAGCCAGGUGACUCGGUUUCCCCCAGGGCUCCACAGGCUUCUGGGGAUCUGGGGAGGUCACAGUGCUCUGUGUUUCUCAGGGCAUUGCUUGUUCACCUCCUCACCUGGCAGAUGGGGAAACUGAGACCUAGAAAAGAGAAGGUGGUCUCUUGCGGGGACUCUGUGAGCCCCCAGUUUCUACCCCGCUUCUCGUCUGUACGUUGGGCAUGGAAGCAGGAAUUCUGGACACACUAAACUGUUAGUUAGAGACCAUCAAACCACGAUCAUUCUGCCUGUGGGGAAGCUGAGGCGCAGAGAGGAAAAGGAACGUACCCAAGUUCCCAUCGCUGGUUGGCUGUGGGGCAAGGAUGAUGACGAUGAUGAUGAUGACGACGACAACCAUAAGAAUAAAAACCAACAGUUCUCGUGCUUAUUGUGCACUGGGGCCUGUUCUAAGUACUUUAUGAUCACCGACUCAUUUAGUCUUUACAAUAGCCCCAGGAGGUAGGAAUUUAUUAGUAUCCGCAUUUGACAGAUGAAGGGACUGAGGCACAGACAGGUUAAGUCACUUACUGAGGGUCACACAGCUAAUCUGUAGUGGAUCCAUG
rnacentral:lncRNA from 1 species